GCGUCUGAUUAGCUAGUUGGUGGGGUAACGGCCUACCAAGGCGACGAUCAGUAGCCGACCUGAGAGGGUGAUCGGCCACAUUGGAACUGAGAGACGGUCCAAACUCCUACGGGAGGCAGCAGUGGGGAAUAUUGGGCAAUGGGCGAAAGCCUGACCCAGCAACGCCGCGUGAAGGAAGAAGGUCUUCGGAUCGUAAACUUCUAUCCCCGGUGAAGAUAAUGACGGUAACCGGGAAGGAAGCCCCGGCUAACUACGUGCCAGCAGCCGCGGUAAUACGUAGGGGGCAAGCGUUGUCCGGAAUGAUUGGGCGUAAAGGGCGCGUAGGCGGCUCGGUAAGUCUGGAGUGAAAUUCCUGCUUUCAAGGUGGGAACUGCUUUGGAUACUGUCGGGCUUGAGUGCAGGAGAGGUAAGUGGAAUUCCCGGUGUAGCGGUGAAAUGCGUAGAGAUCGGGAGGAACACCAGUGGCGAAGGCGACUUACUGGACUGUAACUGACGCUGAGGCGCGAAAGUGUGGGGAGCAAACAGGAUUAGAUACCCUGGUAGUCCACACUGUAAACGCUAGUGCUAGGUGUAGGGGGUAUCGACCCCUUCUGUGCCGGAGUCAACACAAUAA
rnacentral:rRNA from 1 species